rnacentral:tRNA from 1 species
GGAGGCAGAGCUCAGUGGUGAAGCACAUGCUUAGUAUGCCUGAGGUCCUGGGUUCAACCCCCAGAACCUCCU